UACCUUCCCACAUACACACCUAU
rnacentral:siRNA from 1 species